rnacentral:rRNA from 1 species
UGGGGAAUAUUGCACAAUGGGCGCAAGCCUGAUGCAGCCAUGCCGCGUGUAUGAAGAAGGCCUUCGGGUUGUAAAGUACUUUCAGCGGGGAGGAAGGGAGUAAAAUUAAUACCUUUGCUCAUUGACGUUACCCGCAGAAGAAGCACCGGCUAACUCCGUGCCAGCAGCCGCGGUAAUACGGAGGGUGCAAGCGUUAAUCGGAAUUACUGGGCGUAAAGCGCACGCAGGCGGUUUGUUAAGUCAGAUGUGAAAUCCCCGGGCUCAACCUGGGAACUGCAUCUGAUACUGGCAAGCUUGAGUCUCGUAGAGGGGGGUAGAAUUCCAGGUGUAGCGGUGAAAUGCGUAGAGAUCUGGAGGAAUACCGGUGGCGAAGGCGGCCCCCUGGACGAAGACUGACGCUCAGGUGCGAAAGCGUGGGGAGCAAACA